AUUGUUGUAUUAUGUAAACAAAAAAUCUUUUUUCAUGGAAAAAAAGAAAAUAUUUUGAUUUUUCAUAGGAGUGUUCAAACAAAUCAUAUUUUUCAGGUCAUGUGCCAGUGAUUUCAAGUGUUAAAGAUGGCUUUUUCUUCUUUCAUGGAGUCCUCAGUUCUGGUCAUUUUAUACAUUAGAGUGAGGUUCUCAGAAUUUCUAACAGCACUCUGCAGUAGUGAGGACCAUCUGUUUCUGUGUGUGUGCAUAUGUGAAAGAAAAUUUGUUAAAAUUUAAAUUUUAGCUUCAUAGUAAGAAAUGUUUCUCCUGCUUCUUAGACAUCCUUGAACUUAAAGACAUAUUAAGGGUUUUCCAAUACUAAAUACUCUGUUGGCAUAUGAUUUUACAAAACUUGAGGAUCUUUUGCUGAAGUUUGAUUAUUCAUUUGGUCUAAGGGACAAAAAUUUGAGGGAAAGAAGGGGAAAGCUAUAUAAUAUAAUACCAUAAUAGUAUAAAUAAUAUAAUAUUAUGUAUGUUAUAAUAUGACUACCAAAGCAAAAUAGCUGGUCACAUUUGGUCAGGAAGAGCCCAAACAAUACUAAAUGACAACAAAAAUAAUGUUGAUUUGUUAAUAACAUCAAAAUGUUAAUCUUAAUUGCUCUUAGCAGUUAUGUUUCGCCAAUAUGUACAGCUUAAUCCUUGUUCUGCUAUUUGACAAUACAGUAUAUACAUAUAUCUGCUGAAAAGGUACUUGGAAAUAUGAUAAAAUUGCUAUGUGUUUAAGACUGCAAUGUAUUUUUACAAUGCAUCAGUGUGACCAGUAUGAAAUAGACAAAUCAGUAUAAAAUCUCUAUAUUCACCUUCCCACCUCUGACUACCCUGUGUUGUGCUGUGGGCAGCACAUGCUCCUCUGUAGUGGAAAAAAGUAGUCUUUGGAUCUUUGGAUGUUCAGCCUCAUACAUACCAUAUAUUCUUCCUGUAUUUACCUGUGGAAUAUUAUUUUGAUUAACAACCUGCACUUUUUGUUUUAAAAUUUUAAAUUAAAUUCCUCAUAUAUCUUACUGAGAGAUCUUUAUUUCUAUUCUUUCUUGAACUGUGUUCCCAUGCCACAGCCAGAGAUCAACAGAGUGUAAUCUCAGAGCCUUGGAGCUGCUCCUGGUAAUUUUUUUCCUGUGAAGAAACUCACCUUAUGUCUCUAUCGCUCUGAAUUUCUCUUUUGCAGUAUGGAUGUACAUAUUGGCCUAGAGCUGUAGGCUUCAGAGUUUAUCUGCCACUUAUCCUUUGCCCUGAUACCAUG
rnacentral:lncRNA from 1 species